GAAUAUUGCGCAAUGGGCGAAAGCCUGACGCAGCGACGCCGCGUGGAGGAUGACGGUUUUCGGAUUGUAAACUCCUGUUAAGCGGGAAGAAAGACUUUUCCUUAAUACGGACAAGGGAUGACGGUACCGCUAGAGAAAACACCGGCUAACUUCGUGCCAGCAGCCGCGGUAAUACGAGGGGUGCAAGCGUUAUUCGGAAUCAUUGGGCGUAAAGGGUGCGUAGACGGCGUAGUAAGUUAGUUGUUAAAUUUCCCGGCCUAACCGGGAGCCUGCGAUUAAAACUACUAUGCUAGAGGAUAGGAGAGAGAAGUGGAAUUCUCGGAGUAGCGGUAAAAUGCGUAGAUAUCGAGAGGAACACCGAUGGCGAAGGCAGCUUCUUGGCCUAUUCCUGACGUUGAGGCACGAAAGCGUGGGGAGCAAACAGG
rnacentral:rRNA from 1 species